UACAGAGGAUGCAAGCGUUAUCCGGAAUGAUUGGGCGUAAAGCGUCUGUAGGUGGCUUUUUAAGUCCGCCGUCAAAUCCCAGGGCUCAACUCUGGACAGGCGGUGGAAACUACCAAGCUGGAGUACGGUAGGGGCAGAGGGAAUUUCCGGUGGAGCGGUGAAAUGCGUAGAUAUCGGGAGGAAUACCGAUGGCGAAGGCAGGUCUCUGGGCUAUAACUGACGCUCAUGCACGAAAGCGUGGGGAGCAAACAGG
rnacentral:rRNA from 1 species